rnacentral:rRNA from 1 species
GAUGAACGCUGGCGGCGUGCCUAAUACAUGCAAGUCGAGCGAACAGACGAGGAGCUUGCUCCUCUGACGUUAGCGGCGGACGGGGGAGUAACACGUGGAUAACCUACCUAUAAGACUGGGAUAACUUCGGGAAACCGGAGCUAAUACCGGAUAAUAUAUUGAACAGCAUGGUUCAAUAGUGAAAGACGGUUUUGCUGUCACUGAUAGAUGGAUCCGCGCCGCAUUAGCUAGUUGGUAAGGUAACGGCUUACCAAGGCAACGAUGCGUAGCCGACCUGAGAGGGUGAUCGGCCACACUGGAACUGAGACACGGUCCAGACUCCUACGGGAGGCAGCAGUAGGGAAUCUUCCGCAAUGGGCGAAAGCCUGGCGGAGCAACGCCGCGUGAGUGAUGAAGGUCUUCGGAUCGUAAAACUCUGUUAUUAGGGAAGAACAAAUGUGUAAGUAACUAUGCACGUCUUGACGGUACCUAAUCAGAAAGCCACGGCUAACUACGUG